UACGUAGGGGGCAAGCGUUGUCCGGAUUUAUUGGGCGUAAAGAGCGUGUAGGCGGCCAUACAGGUCAGCUGUGAAAAUUCGAGGCUCAACCUCGAGACGUCGGUUGAAACCGUAUGGCUAGAGUCCGGAAGAGGAGAGUGGAAUUCCCGGUGUAGCGGUGAAAUGCGCAGAUAUCGGGAAGAACACCCGCGGCGAAGGCGGCUCUCUGGGACGGUACUGACGCUGAGACGCGAAAGCGUGGGGAGCGAACAGG
rnacentral:rRNA from 1 species